rnacentral:rRNA from 1 species
UACGUAGGGGGCAAGCGUUGUCCGGAAUCAUUGGGCGUAAAGCGCGUGUAGGCGGCCCGGUAAGUCCGCUGUGAAAGUCCAGGGCUCAACCCUGGGAUGCCGGUGGAUACUGUCGGGCUCGAGUCCGGAAGAGGCGAGUGGAAUUCCUGGUGUAGCGGUGAAAUGCGCAGAUAUCAGGAGGAACACCGAUUGCGAAGGCAGCUCGCUGGGACGUUACUGACGCUGAGACGCGAAAGCGUGGGGAGCAAACAGG